AUGCUGCACCCCAAGAGUUCUGGUCCCAAAGCUAUCACUUUUCCAAUAUCUCUCUUGGUAACUCCAGCUUUUGUAAUCAAGAAGAUAACCUGUACAGUAUAACCACCAGGAAAAGGAUAGGUCACUGGAUUUGGGUCACAUGAAGACCCGAUUUGGCCAACCCAACCACAGGACAGACAUAGGACUUUCUGUAUUGGCUACAUGUCAAAUUUCAGUGGCAUGUUCCAAGCAGUCAUUUUCAAAAUCUCGCCUCACACACAUAAUUGUAAGAAGACACCCCAGGUAAGUGCUUUACUGCAACAAGUUUCAAUCA